CUAUGCGUAACCCCGGAAGUAAGCCCAGGCAACGUGUUGUUGUGUGAUAGCUAUUUAAGAUAGCAUGUCGUACUGCCGUGUACAUGAAUGCACAUCAUACAAGAGUAAUAAAGCAGAUGAAAACCUAUAUGUUCAACGGUUCCCUACCGACACACAACUCCGUUGCGAGUGUAUCAUCAAAAUACGCGGGAAUGUCGGUGCACAUUUUCAGUGCCACUGUCAAUGCUGAAAUGAUAGACAGAUGAGCCAACUGCAGAAUUAGUUGGUGAUCCAUGUUCCAACCAGGUUGCAGAGCUACCAUUCCCAAAGCAUGAUUACACAGAAGCCCCUGUCUUUGGAAGAGCAACUGUGAUUAAAUAGAUUGUCUGGCAAAGGAGAAUGACUCACUAAGAAUCCAACAGUUUCGUUUCCAGUGUGUACCGAGGUUCAUCAUGUUCUACACUGGGUUCAAAGACUGACACCCAGAAAGCUGAUUGCCAGGCUUAGAAUACAUGUGGUAGGCUUAGAGGACAUAUUUGAUAGCGUGAUCCCACUGACACUCGCCAGAUCAGUUAACCAGCUGUGGUAUGUAUGUGCUGUACUCAACUGUUUUAAAGAACACUUACCUUGUGGCCCUACCCACCUCCACUAUAUGGGUUUAUUGUAAGCAUUUAUACAUUUGUCUAACCCUCAAUGUACAGCGCCACUGUAACACUUAAGGGAGAACCCUGUAUUUCUGUGAUGUACAGUAUAUCAAUCUAUUGUAUUUCUACCUGAAAAGAAUACCAUGACAAAUGCUUUUCCAACCAUGACUAUUUAAUUAUCCAGCAUCAAUCAUUUCAGUUCAUUAAAAGCUGAAGCUUCAAUCAAAUAGGUUAACUUCAAUUAUAGACAUAUUUUCAGCGUCAAUCAUGUAACUGGAAUUAUAAACAUUUCAAAGUCCUGUAAAUCACUGAAUAAAGUAUAUACCAUUAUUUAUUA